UACCGGAUACUCCGGGAGGCCCCCAUGGCCCUGCCGGGAAAGCCGAGACGGCGCGGGAUGGGGUCGCGGCCCAUUAGGUAGACGGCGGGGUAACGGCCCACCGUGCCCGCGAUGGGUAGCCGGACUGAGAGGUCGACCGGCCACAUUGGGACUGAGAUACGGCCCAGACUCCUACGGGAGGCAGCAGUGGGGAAUUUUGCGCAAUGGGGGAAACCCUGACGCAGCAACGCCGCGUGCGGGACGAAGGCCCUCGGGUUGUAAACCGCUUUCAGCAGGGAAGAUCCAAGACGGUACCUGCAGAAGAAGCUCCGGCUAACUACGUGCCAGCAGCCGCGGUAAUACGUAGGGGGCGAGCGUUAUCCGGAUUCAUUGGGCGUAAAGCGCGCGUAGGCGGCCGCCUAAGCGGGACCUCUAACCCCGGGGCUCAACCCCGGGCCGGGUCCCGGACUGGGCGGCUCGAGUGCGGUAGAGGAGAGCGGAAUUCCCGGUGUAGCGGUGGAAUGCGCAGAUAUCGGGAAGAACACCGAUGGCGAAGGCAGCUCUCUGGGCCGUCACUGACGCUGAGGCGCGAAAGCUGGGGGAGCGAACAGGAUUAGAUACCCUGGUAGUCCCAGCUGUAAACGAU
rnacentral:rRNA from 1 species